rnacentral:rRNA from 1 species
GAUGAACGCUGGCGGCGUGCUUAACACAUGCAAGUCGAGCGGACAGGCGCUGAGCUUGUGGCGCGGUCGUUAGGGGAGGACGGGAGUAAAACGUGAGUAACACGCACUUGACAGUGGGAUAAAAUCUGGGAAAUGCGGAUCAUACACGGGAGGAGAUUCUGAAGCGCGGGGGGCGUAGGAGAGUUUCGGCGGUUGGGGAUGGACUCGCGGCUUACCAGCUGCUUGGUGGGGUAGUGGCUUACAAAGGCUUUGACGGGUAGGCGGCCUGAGCGGGUGACCGGCCACAUUGGUCCUGAGAUACGGCCCAGACUCCUACGGGAGGCAGCAGUGGGGAAUAUUGCACAAUGGGCGGAAGCCUGAUGCAGCAACGCCGCGUGCGGGAUGCCGGCCUUCGGGUUGUAAACCGCUUUCGCCUGUGCCGAAGCGUGAGUGACGGUAAUGGGUAAAGAAGCACCGGCUAACUACGUG